rnacentral:rRNA from 1 species
UUAUUGGGCGUAAGGGCUCGCAGGCGGUUUCUUAAGUCUGAUGUGAAAGCCCCCGGCUCAACCGGGGAGGGUCAUUGGAAACUGGGGAACUUGAGUGCAGAAGAGGAGAGUGGAAUUCCACGUGUAGCGGUGAAAUGCGUAGAGAUGUGGAGGAACACCAGUGGCGAAGGCGACUCUCUGGUCUGUAACUGACGCUGAGGAGCGAAAGCGUGGGGAGCGAACAGGAUUAGAUACCCUGGUAGUCCACGCCGUAAACGAUGAGUGCUAAGUGUUAGGGGGUUUCCGCCCCUUAGUGCUGCAGCUAACGCAUUAAGCACUCCGCCUGGGGAGUACGGUCGCAAGACUGAAACUCAAAGGAAUUGACGGGGGCCCGCACAAGCGGUGGAGCAUGUGGUUUAAUUCGAAGCAACGCGAAGAACCUUACCAGGUCUUGACAUCCUCUGACAAUCCUAGAGAUAGGACGUCCCCUUCGGGGGCAGAGUGACAGGUGGUGCAUGGUUGUCGUCAGCUCGUGUCGUGAGAUGUUGGGUUAAGUCCCGCAACGAGCGCAACCCUUGAUCUUAAUUGCCAGCAUUCAGUUGGGCACUCUAAGGUGACUGCCGGUGACAAACCGGAUGAAGGUGGGGAUGACG